rnacentral:piRNA from 1 species
UGAACAUACCGUUAGCAAAAG